rnacentral:rRNA from 1 species
AAUUUUAGUUCAGCCUAAAGUAAUUUUUACCUCACUAUGUUUCCCAACCCCUUUAGAGUUAUUCAAAUGAGGUACAGCCCAUUUGAUACAGGGUACAACCUUCACUAACGGGUAAAAAAAUCAACUUAUAUCUUCAAGUAGGCUUAAGAGCAGCCAUCUUUUAAAAAGCGUCAAAGCUUAACCCUUAUAAUAUUAAUUUUAAAAUCUACAUUGACCCCUUUAAUUGUAUUGAGAACUUCUAUACUAUAUAGAACUUUUCAUGCUAAAACUAAUAACAAGAGGAAAACCUUCUCCCCAUGCAAGUGUAAACCAGCAAGAACCCACCCCUGGUAAUUAACAGACCCUAAACAAUAGCAACCCUAACCUAGAGAACCCUACUCCCUCAGCUGUCAACCUAACACUAGAGCAUUUCAAGAAAGAUUAAAAGAAAAAGAAGGAACUCGGCAAACAUUAAUCCCGCCUGUUUACCAAAAACAUCGCCUCUUGGCCCCCCCCCAUAAGAGGUCCAGCCUGCCCAGUGACUCUGUUCAACGGCCGCGGUAUUCUAACCGUGCAAAGGUAGCGUAAUCACUUGUUUUCCAAAUAAAGACCAGUAUGAAAGGCACCACGAGGAUUAAGCUGUCUCCUUUUUCUAAUCAGUGAACCUAAUCUCCCCGUGAAGAAGCGGGAAUUAAAAUAUAAGACGAGAAGACCCUGUGGAGCUUAAAACACUAUAACACAUGCCCCCCACCACAAUUUACCCCGGUUAUUUCCCCCCGGCACCCUGAUUAUAUGUUUUUGGUUGGGGUGACCGCGGAGAAAAACACAUCCUCCACAAUGAAAGGGAAACCCCCCUAAGCAAUAAACCACAAUUUUACGCAUCAAAAAAUUGACAUCCAUCGACCCAACAAGUUGAUCAAUGAUCCAAUUACCCCAGGGAUAACAGCACAAUCCACUUUGAAAGCUCCUAUCGACAAGUGGGCUUAUGACCUCGAUGUUGGAUCGGGGUAUCCUGGUGGUGCA